rnacentral:rRNA from 1 species
UACGACUACAUAUCAGGCAUAUCAAUAAGCGGAGGAAAAGAAACUAACUAGGAUUCCCUCAGUAACGGCGAGUGAAGCGGGAAGAGCUCAAAUUUGAAAUCUUCAAGGUUCUACCUUGACGAAUUGUAGUUUAAAGAAGUGUUUUCUGUUGGAGUUUUGGUAAAAGUUCUUUGGAAUAGGACAUCAUAGAGGGUGAGAAUCCCGUAUUUGACCAUUAUUUCCAGCUUUGUGAUACACUUUCAAAGAGUCAGGAUUGUUUGGGAAUGCAGUCCAAAAUGGGUGGUAAAUUUCAUCUAAAGCUAAAUAUUGGCGAGAGACCGAUAGCGAACAAGUACCGUGAGGGAAAGAUGAAAAGAACUUUGAAAAGAGAGUUAAACAGUACGUGAAAUUGUCAAAAGGGAAGCGUUUGACACCAGUGUUGUUUUCUCGAAAAUCAAUUAAAAAAAGGUUGGAUUUUGUGUUGUAUUGACCUUAACAGCUUGCUUCACUCUUUUCCAGCUUUUUUUAAUGCACUUUUCGUUUAACAAGUCAACAUCAAUUUCUUUUGUUGUAAAAGGGUCAUUGGAAGGUGGCUUUUUCUUCGGAGAAAGUGUUUAUAGCCUUUGAUCUCUGCAAUCGGAGAGACUGAGGUCUGCAGCGUAGAUCCUUCGGGGUUAGAUACAUUUGUGCUAAGCUACAGCUUUUCAUAGACAACUUGUUGACUAUGUUUAGUCUUGUGACUUACCCGCUUAUGCUAUUUUACCUACGCUUAGGAUGUUGAGCGCAUGUCUCUCUCU